GUUGGGGUGAGUAAGAGACAGAGAGAGGUAGAGAGAUUUCCUUCCUUGGUGCGGUCCUAUCUGUUCCAUCUAGUAUCUGGUGCACACCAUCAGUAUACACUAUGAACGUGUGCCAUCAGAAAUGGGCAGUGUGGCCGCUGUGGUGGCUCUCGCUGUCGAAGCUCAUAGGCGAGGUUUAAAUCAGUUGUGGUUGUUUUUUCGUACAAAAACUCAUCCGACUAGCAGAGAUACAUUAUGGUGGGUUGCAGAACAACAGAUUGUGUGUCUGCAUACCAGGGACUGUGGUGGGAAGUGGCUGAACUACAGCCCAUUAAAAACUCAACAGUCGCUGAUGUUCCUCUUUAGUAUUUACAAUCCAGAGACAGGUCCUUAUGCAUGUAGGGGUUACACUGUGAAUACAGAUACAGGUCAUGUAGGGGGUUAGACAGUGAAUACAGAGACAGGUCAUUAAGGAGCAUGUAGGGGUUAGACAGUGAAUACAGAGACAGGACAUUAAGGAGCAGGUAGGGGUUAGACAGUGAAUACAGAGACAGGUCAUUAAGGAGCAGGUAGGGGUUAGACAGUGAAUACAGAGACAGGUCAUUAAGGAGCAGGUAGGGGUUAGACAGUGAAUACAGAGACAGGUCAUUAAGGAGCAGGUAGGGGUUAGACAGUGAAUACAGAGUCAGGACAUUAAGGAGCAUGUAGGGGUUAGACACUGAAUACAGACAGGUCAUUAAGGAGCAGGUAGGGGUUAGGGGUCAUCUUACAGGUUUGGCUGCGGACAUUGUGGGUUCGAACCCAAUCCUUUUGGUUAGUAGUGGAACACCCUAACCGCGACACUAUCCCGCCUCUACGCCCCCAAUGGGUUUGAAUCCCCGUUGUCCACAGUCUAACCUGCAGGCAUCCUUGAGCAAGACACCCAAACUCUAAGGAA
ensembl:lncRNA